GCCAGGAGUGGUAACGCACGCCUGUAAUCCCAGCAGCUCAGGAGGCUGAGGCAGGAGGAUCGCAGAAUCAAAGCCAACCUCAGCAACUUAGCAAGACCCUUUCUCUA
rnacentral:sRNA from 1 species